CCUCAAGGACGUUCCUCCGGUCGUGCAGUACGGCCGGUCGAUCUUCCGCGCGCUUCGCAAGCACUUCGGCAACCAGAUCCCGGAGACCAUCAUCGAGCCGGGCCGCGGCAUGGUCGGCAACGCUGGCAUCAUCGAGACGGAAGUCGUUNUCGAAGAAGAGCGAUGACGACGAGAACCGUUGGGUCUACCUCGACAUCGGCAAGUUCGGCGGCCUCGCCGAGACGAUGGACGAGUCGAUCCGCUACGCGAUCCGCACGCCGCACGACGGCG
rnacentral:misc_RNA from 1 species